AAAGGCUACGAUUAAAACCUAGACCCUUAUUUUUCCCUCCCCUCUCUCUCUCUCUCUCACCCUCCAGCCGACAUCCCCCUCUCCGUGGGUCUUCCCCUUCACGCAGCAGCCACCCACGCCUCAGCCCCUGCUCAGCCGCGCGCCACCACUACCCACCGGCGACCUCCAUCCGCCUCCGACCUCCACCCCACCGCAGAUCCCCUUCCAGAAACGCACCCCGUUCCUCUCUCCCUGAUUUCUCCCUCACGACACCUCUCCUCAGCCAGCUGCCGCCGCGAACCCUUCCCUAAGCCUCUGUCACCGGCGAAUUCCCCAUCUCAGGUGCUCUUCUCUUUCCCUUCCCUAAGCCUCUGUCUCUCUAUCUCUCGGUACCCACCGUUUGCCGCCGCCCAAUGCCACCGUUAGUCCCACCACGAGUGAUCCCCAGCCCUCCACUAAAGCUUCCCCUCACUUUUCCGUCGAGUCCCCCCUCCCCUCACGGAUCCUCCUACCCACGCCUAGCGCAUCCGCGAGAUCCCUUUACGCCACCGUCGUCCAGCCACCAUGGGUAGCCAAGCCCCCGAUCCCCCACCGUGCGAAGCUCUCCCUCACCCCUUGCCGACGUUCUCUCUCUCUCUCUACCUCUCGGAUUUGGGUAGAUCCGUGUGCCUCAACCUGUGCACCACCCUUGGCCACCCACAGCCGCCGCUCAACCCUCCCAGGCCUGUCAGCCACCUUAAGCCACCAGUUAGCACGAGCCCGCCAUCCACGACCAACCAACCAACCACCACCCCACGUCGGGAAAUGCCCAGCUUUGCUGUCACAGCAACUGUAAAGCUCAGCCCCACACUCCGUCGAACCGUGAUGGGCACAGUGUUCUUUUCCAUCUCCUGAAUUAAAAGUGUGCGAUGCUCCUUCAGCAUGGAUCGUAUCUCUAUGAUAGUAGCCACUACAACCUGUCUAUCAACAGCAGUAUCAGUUGAAGCUGGAUCACGCUCUAUGCCACUAUCUUGUGCUGCUAGAACAUUAAUGUGAGAUUUUCGCAAGUGGCCCUCGCUCUUGUUGAAUGUGAUCUUGUUAAAGGGCUCAAUCUGUGGUUGUCUCUGUUGUCAUUAGCACAUUAAUCCUCAAUUGCACUAGGAGGUUAGAGAUCAUCGACGCAUACGGUAGACUACAUCUACUCAAAUACUAUGACUCAGAUCAGAUGCGAAUGAGGAAGUAUAAAGGUAGAUCAAUCGGAGCUUCUCGUGCUAUUCAUAACAUAAAUUGAGCUCGUUUGAUAUCGAAAUCAGUCUUAUGUUUCUUCAGAUCAAUAUUAUGUGACACAAUCAAUUGAUGAAUCUUGGCAUGGGUGGGACCCUCAUCUGUUGGAGCCUCAUCCUCAAUGACACACCAUCUAUCCUACUGUUGAUUGUUGUGCAAGGUAUACACUAAUCUCACGAGGGAUCGCAAGAAAAUCAAAGAUAAUAUCUACUGAUGUAGUAGUGGUCACUCCUCUUUAGGCUCCAUUUGACACAUGCCAAUAAAACUCAAUGACCAUGUCUGGAUA